CCUACGGGCGGCAGCAGUGAGGAAUAUUGGUCAAUGGUCGUGAGCCUGAACCAGCCAAGUCGCGUGCGGGAUGACGGCCCUAUGGAUUGUAAACUUCUUUUGUCCGGGGGUAAAAUACGCCACGCGUGGUGUUUCGUGAGUACCCCAUGAAUAAGCAUCGGCUAACUCCGUGCCAGCAGCCGCGGUAAUACGGAGGGUGCGUGCGUUAUCCGGAUUUAUUGGGUUUAAAGGGAGCGUGGGCGGAAGAUCAAGCCGGCGGUAAAAUUUCGUGGCUCAACCUUUUCGAGCCGUUGGAACUGGUGUGCUUGAGUGAGUGAGAAGUAUGCGGAAUGCGUGGUGUAGCGGUGAAAUGCUUAGAUAUCACGCAGAACUCCGAUUGCGAAGGCAGCAUACCGGCGCUCAACUGACGCUGAUGCACGAAAGUGUGGGUAUCGAACAGGAUUAGAUACCCUAGUAGUC
rnacentral:rRNA from 1 species